UCGGUUGCUGAUCACUGUACACUGUACAAUACAGCGAUUUAGUGGGGGCUGUGGGAGCCUUACCUCGCGGCUAAAGGGAUCCGAUCCGAGGCUAACGCGGCGCUCGAAGAUCGAUCGUCGUCGCUGUGGCUGCGGCUGCGCCGGUGCUGGAUCGGCCUGAUUGAUCCGAUUCUGCAACUGCUCCUGAAUAAUCGCCGGCUCCGCUGCGUUCUCCUGUGCAAAUUCAAGAAGCCAGGGAUGAAAAGCGGUAUCAGCGUACUGUAAAGGUCACCUGCUACACACCAUGGAUUCUAAUAAAUUUGCGUGCACGUCGUAAUCAACGCGGUGAGAAAAUGGAUUACACUCACAGGGACCGGAAUUUGUGCACUUACAUGGCGCGAAAAGGAGUUGGCGCGAUCGCGACUCAGAGGAGUUUGAAACCAGCCCAGAACCAUUUUUUCUCCUUUUCGAAAACGUUCAACUAGCUGUAAAUUGGGAAUCUGUAGUUUUCAAGUGCUUCGCAGUAUAAUCCGAAUUGUCAGUGUACGAGGAGAGCAA